AGCAUUUCAAAUGUGCGGUCCACAACAUGAUGCAUGCUUUCUUAUCCAUAAUAGAUCUGGGAUCAUAGGUUUCCGAUGGCAAUAAAUUGUGCCAUAGCAUAUUUGUAUUCAAACCCCAGAUAUAGCCCAAAAUCAUGAAUUGCAAACAAGAAUUAAAAUAUAAAAUGAAAAUUACAAUAAGCUUUCAGAUUUUUCAGAAUCGAAUAAAGGAUCCAAAUCUUGAAACACAAGAAAAGGGAGACGGGAGAAACGGAAGAGACCUUCUAGAGAGAGAGAGAGAGAAAAGCGUUCAUGGCCUCACAACCAUGGGUUGCUGGCGUGAGAGAGAAGAAGAAAGAUAAUAAGGAAGAUAGAGAUGGGAGGCAACUGCUACCAUUUG
rnacentral:lncRNA from 1 species